rnacentral:lncRNA from 1 species
AAGUUUAAAUCAGCUUAGCUGCGGAUAGAUUUCUGCCAUAAGCGGGUAUGUUUGAAUAUUUCUCGAGGUAUUAUCUGUUUGUAACAACAGUGGUUCAGCAUCUACAGUGGAUUCAACAUCAGGUGUUUGCUAUUAUUGUUUGAUGUUGUUUGCCAUUAUUGUUUGAUGUUGUUUGCUAUUAUUGUUUGAUGUUGUUUGCUAUUGUUGUCAAGUAAGGUAAAAAUGGCCAUUUUAAUUACCUGAAUAUUGCGUAUGAUAUCCUUUUAAUUUUAAUCGCGCAAUAAGUUUUUUGGUUUGUUUCUUUCGUAUUUCCUUAUGAUUUGUAUCCUAUUACGGUUUGAUUUUAUAUUGAUCAUCACAUUAUUGUUGAAGGGAUCAUUUGAGUGAAAUCAAUGUUGAUUUAUCAGAAGAUGCAGUUGAAGAUAUCUUAAUUAAGGUAAUAAUUGUAUUACAUCCUGUUGAAAAAUAGAAUUGAUAAAUUUAGGGAAAGUGAGGUUGAAAGAUGAUAACCCAACAGUGGAGCAUUUCAUUCUACAGGUUUGAUAAAUUAAGGGUAUUCUCAUAUAAUUCUUCCUCGAUUGAUCCAAUGAAGUGGCACUUUGGACAUAUGUUGUCUUUAAACUUCAAACUUCUUAGAUAAUAGAUGUUUGAAGAACAACAGAUUUCCAAAGUGCGGAUUCUUUGGAAGCAGCCAUGAACCAUUAUAUGAGAAUACCUUUAAUUUAUCGAACCUGUAGAAUGAGAUGCUCCACCGUUGGGUUAUCAUCUUUCAACCUCACUUUCCCUAAAUUUAUCAAUUCUAUUUUUCAACAGGAUGUAAUACAAUUAUAAAGACUGAUGACUGAUGGACUUAAAUACUGAUGAGGCCUAUCCACUGAUGUAGACAAAUCUCUGUUAAAGUUCCAUGUGCUAAGGACUGUUAUAACUAACCACUGCUCCUUAUAUAAUCAUCGUUCCAGUAUCAUUGUUCCAACAUCGUUGUUUCAAUGAAGCUUCCCAUCACACAUCAAUCUUUCAAUAUCGAUGUUGCAAUAUAAUUGUUGCAACAUCGUUAAAGGUUGUAUGUGCUACCUUCUUUGAUGGGAGAGUUGUGGUUUCCCUUGAUAAUGAUGAUGAUGAUGAUGAUUGUUCUACUGUUGUGAAUGAAGUGGCACUUUGGACAUCUGUUGUCUUCAAACUUCAAACUUCUUAGAUAAUAGAUGUUUGAAGAACAACAGAUGUCCAAAGUGCGGAUUCUUUGGAAGCAGCCAGGAAGAAUUAUAUGAGAAUACCUUUAAUUUAUCGAACCUGUAGAAUGAGAUGUUCCACCGUUGGGUUAUCAUCUUUCAACCUCACUUUCCCUAAAUUUAUCAAUUCUAUUUUUCAACAGGAUGUAAUACAAUUAUAAAGACCGAUGGUUAUAACAGCUGAUCAUACUAAUGACUGUUAUAAUUAACCACUGCUCCUUAUAAAGAAUGAUGGACUUAAAUACUGAUGAGGCCUAUCCACUGAUGUAGACAAAUCUCUGUUAAAGUUCCAUGUGCUAAGGAUUGUUAUAACUAACCACUGCUCCUUAUAUAAUCUUCGUUCCAGUAUCAUUGUUCCAACAUCGUUGUUUCAAUGAAGCUUCCCAUCACACAUCAAUCUUUCAAUAUCGAUGUUGCAAUAUAAUUGUGUGCAACAUCGUUAAAGGUUGCAUGUGCUACCUUCUUUGAUGGUAGAGUUGUGGUUUCCCUUGAUAAUGAUGAUGAUGAUACUGAUGAUGAUGAUGAUGAUGUAGAAGCUGCAGUACUUCCUGCUAAAGUAUUUGGUCUUUCCUGCCUUCUUUGUAUUUAAAGAAGCAUAAAGUUUGUUUUAUCGCAGCUUUUUAUGAACAAAGUUAAGUAUCAAGUAUAUGAGGACAGGGCUACUCUUCCAUAGCUGAAGAAGUGUUUUCGUAUACUGCAUGUUGGUUUGUUCACGAGAGAUCAGGUUUCUAUAAAUCCUGCUGGAAAUGCAUUGAGUACUUCCACGGAGUUCAUGGCGAUUGUCGAAGAUAUACUUUGAUGGAGUUUAAAGCUAAAAGCACUAAAUUUUAAGCUAAAAGCAUUAAAUUUUGGUUGUUAGGUUCCUAAAUUUAUUGGUGUUGUUCUUAUAUUUUAAAUUGUAUGUAAUUUUGUAAAGUACAAUAACAAACAGUGGUUUAACAUCUGUUUGCAUUUUGGUCAAUAGAUAAUGGAAACCCAUGUUAGGUUGAACACUGUUUUUAAGUUAAACAUCUGUUAAGUGUUAAACAGAUGUUUGGCCUUUAACAUCUGUUUAUGGGCAAACAGCUGUUUAUGGCCAAACUUCUGUUUAUGAGCAAUCAUCUGUUUAUGCUCAGACCUUUGUUUAUGUUAACAGUGUUUAUAGUCUGUUUGGUUGAUAAAUGUUACCACCUCAGUGUUUUAUAUGUAACAAUUUAGUCACAACAAUGUUUAUAUGUAACAGUGUAUAUCCCAACAGUGUUUAUAUGUAACAGUAUUUAUCAAAUCCCUACAUUGAUUUGAUCUGU